rnacentral:rRNA from 1 species
UCGGGAAUAUUGCGGCAAUGGAGGAAACUCUGACGCAGUGACGCCGCGUGCAGGAAGAAGGUUUUCGGAUUGUAAACUGCUUUAGACAGGGAAGAACAAUGACAGUACCUGUAGAAUAAGCUCCGGCUAACUACGUGCCAGCAGCCGCGGUAAUACGUAGGGAGCGAGCGUUAUCCGGAUUUAUUGGGUGUAAAGGGUGCGUAGACGGGAAGACAAGUUAGUUGUGAAAUCCCUCGGCUUAACUGAGGAACUGCAACUAAAACUGUUUUUCUUGAGUACUGGAGAGGAAAGUGGAAUUCCUAGUGUAGCGGUGAAAUGC